UGCAUAUCAAUAAGCGGAGGAAAAGAAACCAACAGGGAUUGCCUCAGUAACGGCGAGUGAAGCGGCAACAGCUCAAAUUUGAAAUCUGGCACCCGCCCGAGUUGUAAUUUGCAGAGGAGGCUUUGGAGUCGCCCCGGUCCAAGUUCCUUGGAACAGGACGUCGUAGAGGGUGAGAAUCCCGUACGCGGCCGGAUGGCUUCUCUGUGUAAAGCCCCUUCGACGAGUCGAGUUGUUUGGGAAUGCAGCUCUAAAUGGGAGGUAAAUUUCUUCUAAAGCUAAAUACCGGCCAGAGACCGAUAGCGCACAAGUAGAGUGAUCGAAAGAUGAAAAGCACUUUGAAAAGAGAGUUAAAAAGUACGUGAAAUUGUUGAAAGGGAAGCGUUUGUAGCCAGACUUGGCGGCAGUUGCUCAACCGGUCUUUGCCCGGUGCACUCUUCUGCCGACAGGCCAGCAUCGGUUCGGGCGGCCGGAUAAAGGCAUUGGGAACGUGGCUCCUCGGAGUGUUAUAGCCCUUUGCACAAUGCGGCCAGCCCGGACUGAGGACCGCAUUUUACGGAUGCUGGCUUAAUGGCUGCCAACGGCCCGUCUUGAAACACGGACCA
rnacentral:rRNA from 1 species